GGACCUCAAUGGGGUGGAAGACACCAGGAGUUGAUGGGGGGUCACCAAGACUUGGAGGGCCACCAAGAGGAGGUGGUUGGCCACCAAGACUUGGAGGGCCACCAAGGGGAGGUGGUUGGCCACCAAGGGCAAGUGUUGGGCUACCAAAUGACCACAGUUGGCCACCAAGAGUUGGCACCCAACCCCACCCGAGCCCAUCCCCGUUCCUCACCGUGGUUUUCAACCAGGAUGGAGGGUCACCAAGGGGAGGUGGUUGGCCACCAAGAGUUGGAGGGCCACCAAGAGGAGGUAGUUGGCCACCAAGGGCAAGUGUUGGGCUACCAAAUGACCACAGUUGGCCACCAAGAGGUGGAGGGCCACCAAGAGGAGGUGGUGGGCCACCAAGAGUUGGAGGGCCACCAAGAGGUGAUGGAGGACCUCAAUGGGGUGGAAGACAGCAGGAGUUGAUGGGGGGCCACCAAGAGUUGGAGGGCCACCAAGAGGAGGUGGUGGGCCACCAAGAGUUGGAGGGCCACCAAGAAGAGAUGGUGGGCCACCAAGACUUGGAGGGCCACCAAGGGGAGGUGGUUGGCCACCAAGACUUGGAGGACCACCAAGGGGAGGUGGUUGGCCACCAAGAGUUGGAGGGCCACCAGGAAGAGAUGGUGGGCCACCAAGAGAAGAUGGUAGACCACCAAGGGGAGGUGGUUGGCCACCAAGACUUGGAGGGUCACCAAGUGCAAGUGU